rnacentral:lncRNA from 1 species
AAAUUAACUUUAUUUUUCAGCUUUACCUCAUCUGGAUGCGGUAACAAAACUGGCACACCCAGAAAGGAUACAGAUGUAGGGCAUAAUUAAAGAAGAUGCUUUUGGUAAAGGGGCGCGAAGACGAAAGUAACAAAGAUAGACAUGUAGGUUGGAAUUCUACAACACUGGGUUGAAAUGUAAGCUUUGCCACACUCUGUGACCUGUCCUCCGUAAGCCUGUUUUCUCACAUAACGGCCUGGAUUUGAGAUCACUGCCCUGACUGUUAAAACAGUCUCAGCCUUUUACAUCAUUGGUGCAUCCCUCUGUGGCCAUGUGAGACCACUCUGGUCUAGGUGAAGGAGAGAAGGCCACAGUGGUUAAAGUCCUUUGAGGGCCUGGACUUGGCUCAGUGAGCCUUACUGGCUUUACAGGCUGGUGACCCCUAAACCUUAGGUAGCGGGGGAUAGGGGUUGGGGCAGGUCAGCACCUGUUCCGGGGUGAGGAAGCCAAUGAAAAUAGAACUUUCCAAUUCCACUCCUAAUUUGUUUCAAACCAUGUUCUGCCCAAAUGGAGAUCUGAACUCUUUCGUAACCGGUCCUGCCCCUGUUGUCAUCCCUUUAAUCUUUGUUCUGACAAAUCUGUAAGUUAUCCCAACAGCCUUUCCACGGGUGGUACCUCUGACCCCAUCACAACUUGUUUUCAGAUGACCUUUAUUCUCUCCUAAAACUAAAUAUGGACUCUUCUACGGCUCUCUUUUUUGCCUUCUAGGUUUGAGUUUUCUCCUCUCUGUAUCCAAAAUGCUCAAUAUUCUUACAGUAGAUGCUGAUGAACAGGGAAAUAGCUCCCUCACCUGCAUGGGAGGGCUUAAAAACCUGGAAAUUUUUUAAAAAACUGUAUUUCAGUACUAGACUGAUAGGCUUUUUAAAGAGAUUAUUCUAAAUUCCUACCUGGUGUCCAGCCGAGAAGAUGCUUGAACAGAGUUGAUAGUUCACAAACUUCUGUUUUUAUCUUCCUAUCUCUGGUUUAGAACUGUGAAGUGAUUAUAUUUAAUUCACUGUUCCUACUCAGAAGUAAUACCUAAAAUAAUUUAGGUUGUAGAAAAUCUCUUAACAACCCCUAUAGUCUUUAGGAAUUAAAUUUGUUUUCCUCAUGACUGGUAAUUCAGGGUCUCCCAACAUGGUCACUUGUGCCAACUAACUACUUUGUUAAACUUGGAAGUACAGGGAAGAUGACAAAGGGAAACCACUGGGAACCCCCUUUUUUUUUCUAGGGAAGAGAUGAAGUUAGCCCAUCUGUUCACUUAUGGAUCAAGAAGUGGACUCCUCAUCCUACGAAUGUCUUAUUCCUUGGGUGGUGCUUACAAGAGGUGACCCA